UACGGAGGGUGCUAGCGUUAUCCGGAAUCACUGGGCGUAAAGGGCGCGUAGGCGGCCUGGUAAGUCUGAUGUUAAAGAGCGGGGCUCAACCCCGUCACGGCGUUGGAUACUGCUGGGCUUGACGGCUGGAGAGGUGAGUGGAAUUACCAGUGUAGCGGUGGAAUGCGUAGAUACUGGUAGGAACACCCAUUGCGAAGGCAGCUCACUGGACAGCACGUGACGCUGAGGCGCGAAAGUGUGGGGAGCAAACCGG
rnacentral:misc_RNA from 1 species